rnacentral:rRNA from 1 species
CCUCGGGAGGCAGCAGUGAGGAAUAUUGGUCAAUGGACGAGAGUCUGAACCAGCCAAGUAGCGUGAAGGAUGACUGCCCUAUGGGUUGUAAACUUCUUUUAUAUGGGAAUAAAACAGGGUAUGCAUACCCUCUUGUAUGUACCAUAUGAAUAAGGAUCGGCUAACUCCGUGACAGCAGCCGCGGGAGUAUGGAGGAACCGAGCGUUAGUCGGAUUUAUUGGGGUUAAAGGGGGAGGAGGGGGGUUGUUAAGUCAGUUGUGAAAGUUUGCGGGGCAACCGUAAAAUUGCAGUUGAAACUGGCAGUCUUGAGUACAGUAGAGGUGGGCGGAGUUCGUGGUGUAGCGGUGAAAUGCUUAGAUAUCACGAAGAACUCCGAUUGCGAAGGCAGCUCACUGGACUGCAACUGACACUGAUGCUCGAGAGUGUGGGUAUCAAACAGGAUUAGAUACCCUGGUAGUC